AAAUGGUGAUUCUGCUGUAUCAACGUUUAGGGCUUUACGAGCAGAUUGCGGUCGACAUAAUCGACCCACAGAGGAAACAAUUUGGAAUACAGAGACAAAAAUUGAAGAGACUAAAUCGGUUACUGAUAUUAAAAUACCUCUCAGAAAUGUAAAGGAACACAAAUGGACUGUAAAAAUCAUGAGAAUGGCGGUAGACGCGGUACGGAGAAAAGCAAUGGGCUAUUUGGAGGAUACCAAACACUACAACAACCGCGCUCUACAUUAUUGCGAUACUGCAAGAAUGAUAAAGAAGUAGAAAAUAUUAAAAAAGAGACUUUGAAAGAGCUAGAAACCAAACUGUGGAUUAAGCCGGAGUAUGGAAGCUUGUAUCAUUGCCGAAGAACGACUAGUUGGUAACAACGGAAUUAUUAAUGGACAAUAUAGCUAAAAAUACGGAGCGUUCAAAUGUAACGUAACUAAACUGAUCCCAUUUAAGAAUAACAACGAUCUGGCAAAUUGAAUGUUUUGGUUCAUCGUGCAUUAUUGCCUAUGACGGAAACAAAAAAAUCUGUUACAUUUGUAUGUAUCACAUAGGUAUAUAAUAUAUAACAAUAUGUAAA